GGAAACCCAGGCUAAUACCGCAUACGUCCUACGGGAGAAAGGGGGCUUCGGCUCCCGCUAUUGGAUGAGCCUAUGUCGGAUUAGCUAGUUGGUGAGGUAAAGGCUCACCAAGGCAACGAUCCGUAGCUGGUCUGAGAGGAUGAUCAGCCACAUCGGGACUGAGACACGGCCCGAACUCCUACGGGAGGCAGCAGUGGGGAAUAUUGGACAAUGGGGGCAACCCUGAUCCAGCCAUGCCGCGUGUGUGAAGAAGGCCCUCGGGUUGUAAAGCACUUUCAGCGAGGAAGAACGCCUAGCGGUUAAUACCCGUUAGGAAAGACAUCACUCGCAGAAGAAGCACCGGCUAAUUCCGUGCCAGCAGCCGCGGUAAUACGGAGGGUGCAAGCGUUAAUCGGAAUUACUGGGCGUAAAGCGCGCGUAGGUGGCUUGAUAAGCCGGUUGUGAAAGCCCCGGGCUCAACCUGGGAACGGCAUCCGGAACUGUCAGGCUAGAGUGCAGGAGAGGAAGGUAGAAUUCCCGGUGUAGCGGUGAAAUGCGUAGAGAUCGGGAGGAAUACCAGUGGCGAAGGCGGCCUUCUGGACUGACACUGACACUGAGGUGCGAAAGCGUGGGUAGCAAACAGGAUUAGAUACCCUGGUAGUCCACGCCGUAAACGAUGUCGACCAGCCGUUGGGUGCCUAGAGCACUUUGUGGCGAAGUUAACGCGAUAAGUCGACCGCCUGGGGAGUACGGCCGCAAGGUUAAAACUCAAAUGAAUUGACGGGGGCCCGCACAAGCGGUGGAGCAUGUGGUUUAAUUCGAUGCAACGCGAAGAACCUUACCUACCCUUGACAUCUACAGAAGCCGGAAGAGAUUCUGGUGUGCCUUCGGGAACUGUAAGACAGGUGCUGCAUGGCUGUCGUCAGCUCGUGUUGUGAAAUGUUGGGUUAAGUCCCGUAACGAGCGCAACCCUUGUCCUUAUUUGCCAGCGAGUAAUGUCGGGAACUCUAAGGAGACUGCCGGUGACAAACCGGAGGAAGGUGGGGACGACGUCAAGUCAUCAUGGCCCUUACGGGUAGGGCUACACACGUGCUACAAUGGCCGGUACAAAGGGCUGCGAGCUCGCGAGAGUCAGCGAAUCCCUUAAAGCCGGUCUCAGUCCGGAUCGGAGUCUGCAACUCGACUCCGUGAAGUCGGAAUCGCUAGUAAUCGUGAAUCAGAAUGUCACGGUGAAUACGUUCCCGGGC
rnacentral:rRNA from 1 species